rnacentral:rRNA from 2 species
UUGGACCUGAUAUCAGACAAGACUACCCGCUGAACUUAAGCAUAUUAAUAAGCGGAGGAAAAGAAACUAACCAGGAUUCCCCUAGUAACGGCGAGUGAAGCGGGAUGAGCUCAAGCUUAAAAUCUCUGUGCAAGUUUUGCAUGGCGAAUUGUAGUCUAUAGAGGCGCUGUCAGUGCAGGCAUUUGGGGUAAGUUCCUUGGAAGAGGACAGCAUCGAGGGUGAUACUCCCGUUUGUACCCGAGUGCUUUGUGCGUACGACACGUUUUCUUUGAGUCGCGUUGUUUGGGACUGCAGCGCAAAGUAGGUGGUAAAUUCCAUCUAAAGCUAAAUAUUGGUGCGAGACCGAUAGCGAACAAGUACCGUGAGGGAAAGAUGAAAAGAACUUUGAAAAGAGAGUUAAAGAGUACCUGAAACUGCUGAAAGGGAAGCGAAUCGUAUCCAGUGUCUAUAAUCUGUGGCAUAUUUCAUUGGCGCAUGUGCGCGUGCUGUGUGUUGGAAGUGGCUUUGCUGCUCCGCGUAUGGUUCUGCGUGUGUGUGCUGGUGCCCUGUGUCAUGGUGGGACGUCAGAGUCAGUUCGUAUGCUGCGGGAAAUGGCUAUUGAGGAGGUAGGUCAGGAGCUUGCUCUUGGCUGUUAUAUCUUGGUAGUUAGUGGUCGUGGUUGGGACUGAGGUGCCUACAACGUGCUUUGGGGUCUUGCGGGUUCUUGCUUGGCGGUCUGUCUGGAUAGCUUGCUAUGCUGGUGGCGUCGUCGGGUGAUUGAGUCUGUUUGUAACCUGUGCCGUUCGGGACUUUGACGAAAUGGAGCGAUUCGGCCCGUCUUGAAACACGGACCAAGGAGUCUAACAUGUGUGCAAGUGUUAGGGUGUGGAAACCCCAGCGCGAAAUGAAAGUGAAGGGUAGCGUACGCUGCCUGAGGUAGGAAACCUUUGUUUUCAGAGGUGGCACUAUCGACCGAUCAUGAACCUUCGUGGUGAAAGAUUUGAGUAUGAGCACAUAUGUUGGUACCCGAAAGAUGGUGAACUAUGCCUGAGUAGGGUGAAGCCAGGGGAAACUCUGGUGGAAGCUCGUAGCGAUUCUGACGUGCAAAUCGAUCGUCAAACUUGGGUAUAGGGGCGAAAGACUAAUCGAACCAUCUAGUAGCUGGUUCCCUCCGAAAUUUCCCUCAGGAUAGCAGCAACUUAUUUACGAUAGUUUUAUGAGGUAAAGCGAAUGAUUAGAGGMCYGGGGGAAGAAACUUCCUUCACCUAUUCUCAAACUUUAAAUCUGUAAGACCUGCAGGUUUCUUAAUUGAACUUGUGGAUGUGAAUAUCAAGUUGCUAGUGGGCCAUACGGGGUAAGCUCGUCUGGCGAUGCGGGAUGAUCCGAACGCAAA